CCUACGGGUGGCAGCAGUGAGGGAUAUUGGUCAAUGGGGGAAACCCUGAACCAGCAACGCCGCGUGAGGGAAGACGGUUUUCGGAUUGUAAACCUCCGUCCUCUGUGAAGAUAAUGACGGUAGCAGAGGAGGAAGCUCCGGCUAACUACGUGCCAGCAGCCGCGGUAAUACGUGGGGAGCAAGCGUUGUCCGGAUUUACUGGGUGUAAAGGGUGCGUAGGCGGCCCUGCAAGUCAGAAGUGAAAUCUAUGGGCUUAACCCGUGAACUGCUUUUGAAACUGGAGGUCUUGAGUGAAGGAGAGGCAGGCGGAAUGCCUGGUGUAGCGGUGAAAUGCGUAGAGAUCGGGAGGAACCCCAGUGGCGAAGGCAGCCUGCUGGGGUUUAACUGACGCUGAAGCACGAAAGCGUGGGUAGCGAACAGGAUUAGAUACCCGGGUAGUC
rnacentral:rRNA from 1 species